GUGCUCGCUUUGGCAGCACAUAUACUAAAGUUGGAACGAUCUAGAGAAUAUCAGCAUGGCCCCUUCACAAGAAUGACACAAAUUUGUGAAGCAUUCUAUAUUAAA